rnacentral:rRNA from 1 species
GGAGUUAGGAAAUGUAAGUUUGCGAAUACCAAAUUUACUUGACAAAGGCUCCGAAGGAAGCCACGGCUAACUCUGUGCCAGCAGCCGCGGUAAUACAGAGGUGGCGAGCGUUGUUCGGAAUUAUUGGGCGUAAAGAGCACGUAGGUGGAUUUGUAAGUCAGAUGUGAAAGCCUUCUGUUCAACGGAAGAAUUGCAUCUGAGACUACAAACCUUGAGUAUAGGAGGGGAGAGUGGAACUUCUGGU